GCCCAAGUGGCGGAACUGGUAGACGCGCUGCGUUCAGGGCGCAGUGGGCUUUGCGCCCGUGAAGGUUCGAAUCCUUCCUUGGGCACCA
rnacentral:tRNA from 1 species